UACGUAGGGGGCAAGCGUUGUCCGGAUUCAUUGGGCGUAAAGAGCGUGUAGGCGGCCUGAAAGGUCAGCUGUGAAAACUCGAGGCUCAACCUCGAGACGUCGGUUGAAACCAUCUGGCUAGAGUCCGGAAGAGGAGUGUGGAAUUCCGGGUGUAGCGGUGGAAUGCGUAGAGAUCCGGAAGAACACCGGUGGCGAAGGCGGCCUGCUGGGCAGUAGCUGACACUGAGGCGCGACAGCGUGGGGAGCAAACAGG
rnacentral:rRNA from 1 species